rnacentral:lncRNA from 1 species
GGGGUGCUGGCUGUGCCCACUCCAGUAGCCCUGGCCAUCUUGACCACUCCUAUAGACACAGGAGACCCCAACCUUGGUGACACUGUCUGUGCCCUUGGACCUGGGCUCCCUGUUCAAUGAGGGCAGGAGCCACAGCCCCCACCUAGUCCACCCACCGUGCCCGGCCUUGUAACACACAGGUUUGUUGUGACAAUGAGCCAAUCUAUAUAAAGCACUCUAAAUGGUGCCUGGCUCUCAGCGUUAGCUGCAUCAUAUCAACCUACAGCAGGUUGUGUGCAGCCGGGCAGCCUGGUCUGGGGAAGAGUGGGUUGAGUGUGCACAGCCCUUCUUGCAGCAGUUUUUAAACGCUUCGCUGAUUCCCAUGUUAGGAGAAGACAAGAGCCAUCUUCAAAUCCACAGAUUCCAAGGAGAGAAUAAAAGGGUCACACUAGCUCGGCUCCUCCCCAUCCAGCAUCCACGAAUCAUUUCCUGAGUACCAGCUCUGUGCCUGACCCAGGUCUGGGGAUCUUUUGGGGACCUCAGUUCAGAGCAAGCUGACAGCUGGACAUGCAUGCCAGGAAGCUGGCCAGCUCAGCGGCUGCAUUCAUGGAGGCAGACGACUCACUGAGGGAGGAGAGUCCUGCUGGUCUAAGCAGCACAGAGAAUGAAGCCACUUUCUCCUUCCUGUAGAGCUUUCCCCACUGAACAUUCUUUAUGCAGUCUAUCAUUGAUGGGCAUUUAGGUUGAUUCCAUUUCUUUGCUAUUGUGAAUAGUGCUACAAUGAACAUACACAUGCAUGUAUCUUUAUAACAGAAUGAUUUACAUUCCUUAGCGUAUAUUCCCAGCAAAAUAUUUCUUUGAUUUGCUUCUUCCUAGAGUUCCCAGCCUGGCCCACAACAGGUGUUUGAGAGCAUCUUCCCAGCCCAAGGUCAGCACAAACAGCUCACAGAGGGGUCUAGUUGGGGCAAAGAGAAGAAGCCAGUCUAUCAAUGGGUCACUCAACAGAAGCUCCUGGCCAGACUGACAACAGCCCACUGAAAACAGCAACAGUGAUAGUAAUCCCAAGGUACACCAGCUUGGGCCUUGUGGUCACAAAGCACUUGCACAUCUACUAUUGCAUAAGGUCCUUCUUUUGUAGAGGAGGAUACUGGGGCUUGAAGAAGCUAAGUCACUUGCCUA